GGUGGUUGUAGUAUAGUGGUAAGUAUUCCCCUCUAUCACGCGGGUGACCCGGGUUCGAUCCCCGGCAACGGCGU
rnacentral:tRNA from 1 species